GUAAAAAUUGUUGUUCAUUGUUAGUUCAUGACACCUAAUGAACUAAUUGAAGCUUAUUCUAAAAUCUUACCAAAUAAUUACUGAGCUACACCUUUGUGUUGAGAUCUGACAGUGUGAAAGCAUUCAGGCGUUAGGCUGAGCAGUCUCAGGUGACGAGAAGAUGAAUUAAAUCCUCAUGAUUAAUAACAUGCUCAUGUUUUAUUCAGAUACACAAGCUUGACUCCUUACAACAUUAUCCAAUCAAAGGAUGCAAAGCUGCCCCGUCGUUAAAUUCAACUGACCCUCUGGGCUUCCUAAUGAUCUGAGCUGCUCAGGAACAAUUAAAGACAAUUAUUUGACAUGGAACCCUGAGAACCUGCUGAGAAAAAAUAAUCAUCUCAAGCCUAUGAAAGCACACCUCAGUACACUCAUUUGCACUCAGUCCAUAAAAUGAAUAUUUAUAUUGCUUCUUUAUCACAGAUAUUCAAGUUUCGUCAUGAUGCAUGCUGCAUGCUAAACUACUACAGGCAAGAAAAAGGUUGCCAUCUUCUGGAUAACCAGAGAAACUACAACCCAUCACCAUGAAUAAACAGCUAAAGACUUGCGAAGUCUGCCUCCCUAAAUUAUUAAAUGCUUUAAACUACUCUUGAUGAGUAAAGACUCAUUCUAUUCGAUCUGAAAUCAGUUUGCCACCAGAGGAAGGACACCGACCCAGCCCCUCUCUUUAUCUUUAUUCUCUCUUAAAACCACCGGACUGAUCAUCAGCAGGCAUCAAAGCGCUGCCACACACCGGCCGGCCAGACACCACAUAUCCGAUUCCUUUUGAAAGCUUCUGACAAACAGACACACGUUCUCUCCUCCUCGCUCAUGCCAAAACAGAUCACACUUCUUAAAGACUGUGGCCAUUGGUACUUCAGAGAUUAGAAAGUUGAUAUAGUUUGGGUCUGGCUCUGUAUUUCCCCCUCGGGUGCAGGUGAUUCAGUGUGGGGAGAGGAUUCUUUACCCCUUAUCAAAUAUGAAUCAGCAAUUACUCAACUGUGGAUUCGAGCAGAGCGGAAAGAUAAGUGCCAAGCCUCAUUAAAUAUGAAUCAAGAAUAUUCAUCUGAUAUCACUGUGGGAGAAACCUCUCCAGGACUGUUUUAUUUAGCUUUCUUGUACAAUUUGACUCUAUACACAAACCCCAAACUACUCCAGAGAAGCAGAACAGCUGAAGAUUGACUAAGUGUGUCACGCUGCUAUAG